rnacentral:tRNA from 3 species
GGCGAGGUAGCUCAGCUGGUUAGAGCGCGUGAUUCAUAAUCACGAGGUCGGCGGUUCAAGCCCGCCUCUCGCUACAA